CGACCGCUGGCGGCGUGCUUAACACAUGCAAGUCGAACGGAAAGGCCCUGCUUUUGUGGGGUGCUCGAGUGGCGAACGGGUGAGUAACACGUGAGUAACCUGCCCUUGACUUUGGGAUAACUUCAGGAAGCUGGGGCUAAUACCGGAUAGGAGCUCCUGCUGCAUGGUGGGGGUUGGAAAGUUUCGGCGGUUGGGGAUGGACUCGCGGCUUAUCAGCUUGUUGGUGGGGUAGUGGCUUACCAAGGCUUUGACGGGUAGCCGGCCUGAGAGGGUGACCGGCCACAUUGGGACUGAGAUACGGCCCAGACUCCUACGGGAGGCAGCAGUGGGGAAUAUUGCACAAUGGGCGGAAGCCUGAUGCAGCAACGCCGCGUGCGGGAUGACGGCCUUCGGGUUGUAAACCGCUUUCGCCUGUGACGAAGCGUGAGUGACGGUAAUGGGUAAAGAAGCACCGGCUAACUACGUG
rnacentral:rRNA from 1 species